rnacentral:rRNA from 1 species
CCUACGGGGGGCAGCAGUAGGGAAUAUUGCUCAAUGGGGGAAACCCUGAAGCAGCAACGCCGCGUGGAGGAUGAAGGUUUUCGGAUUGUAAACUCCUUUUGUUAGAGAAGAUAAUGACGUUAUCUAACGAAUAAGCACCGGCUAAAUCCGUGCCAGCAGCCGCGGUAAUACGGAGGGUGCAAGCGUUACUCGGAAUCACUGGGCGUAAAGAGCGCGUAGGCGGGAUAGCAAGUCAGAUGUGAAAUCCUAUGGCUUAACCAUAGAACUGCAUUUGAAACUGUUAUUCUAGAGUAUGGGAGAGGUAGGUGGAAUUCUUGGUGUAGGGGUAAAAUGCGUAGAGAUCAAGAGGAACACUCAUUGCGAAGGCGACCUGCUAGAACAUAACUGACGCUGAUGCGCGAAAGCGUGGGGAGCAAACAGGAUUAGAUACCCUUGUAGUC